rnacentral:rRNA from 1 species
AGUGAACGCUGGCGGCGUGCCCAACACAUGCAAGUCGAGCGAAUCCUUCGGGGUGAGCGGCGGACGGGUGAGUAACGCGUGGGUAACCUGCCCUGUACACACGGAUAACAUACCGAAAGGUAUGCUAAUACGGGAUAACAUAUGAGAGUCGCAUGGCUUUUGUAUCAAAGCUCCGGCGGUACAGGAUGGACCCGCGUCUGAUUAGCUAGUUGGUAAGGUAACGGCUUACCAAGGCAACGAUCAGUAGCCGACCUGAGAGGGUGAUCGGCCACAUUGGAACUGAGACACGGUCCAAACUCCUACGGGAGGCAGCAGUGGGGAAUAUUGCACAAUGGGCGAAAGCCUGAUGCAGCAACGCCGCGUGAGCGAUGAAGGCCUUCGGGUCGUAAAGCUCUGUCCUCAAGGAAGAUAAUGACGGUACUUGAGGAGGAAGCCCCGGCUAACUACGUGCCAGCCGCCGCCGUAAGAC